UACGGAGGGUGCAAGCGUUAUCCGGAUUACUGGGUUUAAAGGGUGCGUAGGUGGGUCUGUAAGUCAGUGGUGAAAUCUCCGAGCUUAACUCGGAAACUGCCAUUGAUACUAUAGAUUCUUAGAACUUAUCGUGGAGUGAGCGGAAUAUGUCAUGUAGCGGUGAAAUGCUUAGAUAUGACAUAGAACACCAAUUGCGAAGGCAGCUCUACUACG
rnacentral:rRNA from 1 species